rnacentral:rRNA from 1 species
GACCCGAAACCGAGUGAUCUAACCAUGGCCAGGUUGAAGUUCCGGUAACACGGAAUGGAGGACCGAACCCACCAAUGUUGAAAAAUUGGGGGAUGAGCUGUGGUUAGGGGUGAAAGGCCAAUCAAACUCGGAGAUAUCUGGUUCUCGCCGAAAUGUCUUUAGGGACAGCGUCAUGAUAGUGUACCGGGGGUAGAGCACUGGAUGGGCUAGGGGGCCUACAAGCUUACCGACCCCAACUAAACUCCGAAUACCGGAUACAUGUUUCAUGGCAGUGAGACUGCGGGGGAUAAGCUUCGUAGUCAAAAGGGAAACAGCCCAGACCAACAGCUAAGGUCCCUAAAUCCAUGCUAAGUGAUAAAGGAUGUCAAAUCGCCCAGACAGCUAGGAGGUUGGCUUAGAAGCAGCCAUCCUUUAAAGAAAGCGUAACAGCUCACUAGUCGAGGGGUUUUGCGCCGAUAAUAUCCGGGACUUUUAAGCAUGGUACCGAAGCUUUGGUCCUAACACUUUUGUGUUGGGAGGUAGGCGAGCGUUCCAUUAACUGUUGAAGCUCGAGACGGGAGUCCGGGUGGAGGAGAUGGAAAUGAGUAUGCUGGCAUGAGUAGCGAUAAACACGGUGAAAUACCGUGUCGCCGAAAGCCCAAGGGUUCCUGAGUAAAGUAACUCUGCUCAGGGUUAGUCGGAUCCUUAGUCGAGGCCGAAAGGCGUAGGCGAUGGAAAACGGGUUUAAUAUUCCCGUACCGGCCUAUGGUUGUUUGAACUAAGGGGGGACGCAGAAGUGAAAGGUCAGCCCGGUUUUGAUUGUCCGGGUUUAAGUGUGUAGGAGGUUCUGGUAGGUAAAUCCGCCGGAAUACUCAACUCCGAGACACGAAUAGGAGGGCUUAGCCCAUAAACUGACCCUAACCAUGCUGCCAAGAAAAGCCUCUAUGUUAGAUCAUAAGCUGACCGUACCCUAAACGGACACACGUGGGCGAGGAGAGAAUCCUAAGGCGCUUGAGAGAAUCCAAGUAAAGGAACUCGGCAAAUUAGCCCCGUAACUUCGGGAGAAGGGGUGCCCUUAUUAGGUGAAGUCCCUUGCGGAUGGAGCUGAAAGGGGUCGCAGUGACCAGGCCCGAUCGACUGUUUAUCAAAAACACAGGUCUCUGCUAAGUCGUAAGACGAAAUAUAGGGACUGACACCUGCCCGGUGCCGGAAGGUUAAAUGGGGGGGUUAGCACUUCGGUGCGAAGCUCUGAAAUGAAGCCCCGGUAAACGGCGGCCGUAACUAUAACGGUCCUAAGGUAGCGAAAUUCCUUGUCGGGUAAGUUCCGACCUGCACGAAUGGUGUAACGAAUUGGGCACUGUCUCUACUUGGAGCUCAGCGAAAUUGAAGUGUCGGUGAAGAUGCCGGCUACCCGCAGCAGGACGAAAA